rnacentral:rRNA from 1 species
CCUACGGGUGGCUGCAGUAGGGAAUAUUGGGCAAUGGAUGAGAGUCUGACCCAGCCAUGCCGCGUGCCGGACGAAGGCCCUCAGGGUUGUAAACGGCUUUUAUCCGGGAAGAAGAGUUCCGCUGCGGCGGGAUGUGACGGUACCGGAAGAAUAAGCACCGGCUAACUCCGUGCCAGCAGCCGCGGUAAUACGGAGGGUGCGAGCGUUGUCCGGAUUUAUUGGGUUUAAAGGGUGCGUAGGUGGCCUAAUAAGUCAGUGGUGAAAUACGGUUGCUC